rnacentral:rRNA from 1 species
CCUACGGGUGGCUGCAGUGGGGAAUAUUGGACAAUGGGGGGAACCCUGAUCCAGCCAUGCCGCGUGUGUGAAGAAGGCCCUCGGGUUGUAAAGCACUUUCAGUGAGGAAGAACGCCUGGUGGUUAAUACCCAUCAGGAAAGACAUCACUCACAGAAGAAGCACCGGCUAACUCCGUGCCAGCAGCCGCGGUAAUACGGAGGGUGCGAGCGUUAAUCGGAAUUACUGGGCGUAAAGCGCGCGUAGGUGGCUUGAUAAGCCGGUUGUGAAAGCCCCGGGCUCAACCUGGGAACGGCAUCCGGAACUGUCAAGCUAGAGUGCAGGAGAGGAAGGUAGAAUUCCCGGUGUAGCGGUGAAAUGCGUAGAGAUCGGGAGGAAUACCAGUGGCGAAGGCGGCCUUCUGGACUGACACUGACACUGAGGUGCGAAAGCGUGGGUAGCAAACAGGAUUAGUUACCCGAGUAGUC